AUCGGACGGCUCUUUGCCAAUAAUAGCACAUAGAAGAGAUUGAGGGGAAAGCACGAGAAAUACGUGGCGCGCUGUGACUUUAAUCGAAUAAAGUUUGGACUGGUGCGUGUACUGAAUCUGGAAACAACACAUUGGAGGCUUGUUGGCUGUCAUGCAAAACAGAGUUCAUGGUGUUUUUCACAUGUACCUGACACUUUGGAGCACUAUGUAUAUCCAAUAGAACCCAGCCUGUGAUUAAAUUUUAGUGACUGACUUCUAUGGAAACCAGCAUUAAUUAAAUACUGGUGAAUCCCAAAAUUUUGAUUAUUGCUCCUUCCACACGUGGGCCAUCAUCGGCUUCAGAGCAGUGCACCCCUUUAUUCUUAUGAUGUCAAAAGCUUUGGAAAGUUUAACUUUCAGCUCAGUUCCUGCUUCAGUCAAAAUGCUUCAAGGACAGUAGCAAA